rnacentral:lncRNA from 1 species
UAUCGCUUUUGGCAAGUGGCCACUCAGAGUACUAUGGGCUUAGGCGCGUGCCCGCUUCGACCGAAUGGUUUCUUUUCCUUUGUCUGUAUAUCUAAACGCAGAUUCCCGGUCAGAAUAUUAUCGCUUUUUUAUGAGAAAAAUUGCAUAAAAAUUGAUUUUAAACAGCGGUUGACAUGCUUCGAAGUACGGUAAUGGAAUAUUUAGAAUUAUUUUGUCACGAAUUGCGCCAUGCUCGUCACCCUUAUUUAGCCUUUAGGAUAGUGUCUAGAACGCACGAACAAAACGCCGCUGUUUGGAUAUAACGAUGGAUUAUUUUGGACCAAACCAACAUUUGUUAUUGAAGUAGAAGUCCUGGGAGUGCAUUCUGACGAAGACAACAAAGACACAAGAUGUCCGUAACCCGGCCUAGUUCUCUACAGCUUCUGUGAGUGCUCCUACCCAUGCUAUGGCCUCUUUGUCUUCGUCUUCUGACGAUAAUGCGAAAUCGUCAUCAGAAAAUGUGGACCAAAACGCAGCAGGAGAGCUGAUUGGUGUGUGAACUACCUGCUCAGGCAGACUGGGAAAGCCAUGCAGGACAUGAACCCCAACUCGGAGGAUACUGAUUCAAUGAAAUUACGUUGGACCAACAUGGAAUAGAUGUUGAAUUGACGUCUGUGUCCAGUGGGCUAUUAUCCCUACCACGUUAGAAGUUCAAAAUGGCAAUAGAAAUGGUAGGCUAUUGCAUAAUUUUCAUAUUAUUUUGGAUGGAGGGAUUUAAAGCCUAACAGUCUAAUCUGGAGUAGGGCCUAUAGCCUAUUUGUAACACGGCUGCAUGGGAUUUGUCAGAUAUAAAGACGGGUGGUUUCCUUGCAUUGAAGGGCAGUGUAGGAAAUAAGGUAACACAAGGAGCCGCUUGUAGAUUUGACAGCUCUAAUGCAUUUCCACCUCCGACACCUCCAAAACAACCGCUAUGUGGUUGUGUUGUGCUAUUCACUGAGUUGUCAUACGCACUCAUUACCUUGGGCCCCUAGGGGUUGUGUGUGUGUGUGUGUGUGUGUGUGUGUGUGUGUGUGUGUGUGUGUGUGUGUGUGUGUGUGUGUGUGUGUGUGUGUGUAUGUGUGUGUGUGUGUGUGUGUGUGUAACGUUUCACAUAAUAAACAUGUUUCUAUAUUUCAGCCACUUCUUUGAAUUAGUAGAUUGUAGUGUGGCUCUGAGUAAAUUGUCAUACAUCCCACUGGGCACACACAGGUUAAAUCAACAUUGUUUCCACAUUGAAUUGCCAUCUGUGCCCAGUGGGAUGUGAUGUAUUUAUAAUUAUAUCAGGUAAUAUGCAGUCCACAAGAAUCCACAACAGAUAACUGAUCAUUUAAGAUACUAAUUGUAUAAACAAGGUAACGGGGGUAUAGUACAGUAAUAAACCAAGCUCAUUAGAACAACAGUUCUAUAUGUUAUGAUUAUACUAUCAUAAUCGUUCCAUUAACUCAGGUGAUCUUAAAUUCACCAAUGUGAAAAAUAAUAGCGCUGUUGGAAACUAUAGUGUUUGUUUAGAAAUUCUAUUUUGGGGAUUUGAACUGGGGACCUUCGGGUCCACUCUCCUUCCUCAAACACAGGAAAAGGCAGCAUUUUCAUUGUUUUUCAGCUUAUCAUAAUAAAUAAUGAAUAAUAAACACUUAUGAAGAAGAACACCACAUUUUCCCCCUUCUGUUUUCAAUUUUUUCUAAAAUGUUCCAAUGUUUUUCCUCCCUUUUUUUCUCCCUUCCCCUUCUUCCCCCAUCUUAACAUACUAUUGUUCCCCAGCUUUGGCACUUGAAAUGAC